rnacentral:rRNA from 1 species
AUUGAACGCUGGCGGCAUGCUUUACACAUGCAAGUCGAACGGUAACAGGCCGCAAGGUGCUGACGAGUGGCGAACGGGUGAGUAAUGCAUCGGAACGUGCCCAGUCGUGGGGGAUAACGCAGCGAAAGCUGCGCUAAUACCGCAUACGAUCUAUGGAUGAAAGCGGGGGCCCGUAAGGCCUCGCGCGAUUGGAGCGGCCGAUGUCAGAUUAGGUAGUUGGUGGGGUAAAGGCUCACCAAGCCGACGAUCUGUAGCUGGUCUGAGAGGACGACCAGCCAAAGUGGGACUGAGACACGGCCCAGACUCCUACGGGAGGCAGCAGUGGGGAAUUUUUGACAAUGGGCGCAAGCCUGAUCCAGCAAUGCCGCGUGCAGGAAGAAGGCCUUCGGGUUGUAAACUGCUUUUGUACGGAACGAAAAGGCUCUGGUUAAUACCUGGGGCUCAUGACGGUACCGUAAGAGUAAGCACCGGCUAACUACGUGCCAGCCGCCGCAGUAA